AACAAUAAGCGGAGGAAAAGAAACUAACAAGGAUUCCCCUAGUAACGGCGAGUGAAGCGGGAUGAGCUCAAAUUAAAAUCUGGUAGUCUCUGGCUGCCCGAGUUGUAAUCUAGAGAAGUGUUUUCUGUGCUGGACUGUGUUCAAGUUUCCUGGAUAUGGAACAUCAUAGAGGGUGAGAAUCCCGUCCUUGACACAGACUUCCCAGUGCUAUGUGAUGCACUCUCAACGAGUCGAGUUGUUUGGGAUUGCAGCUCAAAAUGGGAGGUAAAUUCCUUCUAAAGCUAAAUAUUGGCGAGAGACCGAUAGCGAACAAGUACCGUGAGGGAAAGAUGAAAAGCACUUUGGAAAGAGAGUUAAACAGUACGUGAAAUUGUUAAAAGGGAAACAAUUGAAGUCAGUCGCAUCUACUUGGACUCAGCCUUACUUUGGUUUGGUGCAUUUCCUUGUGGAUGGGCCAGUGUUCAUGUUGAUUGCUGGAAAAGGGGCUAGGGAAUGUGGCUCUUUUGGGAGUGUUAUAGCCUUGGCUCAUAUACAGUGAUUAAUAUGGAGUGGUACAGCAUGCUUCGGUGGUGCUUGUGCUGGCAUAAUGGCUUUAAAUGACCCGUCUUGAAACACGGACCAAGGAGUCUAACAUGUCUGCAAGUAUUUGGGUGAUAAACCCGAGUGCGUAAUGAAAGUGAUAGCUGGGAACCCUGUAAAGGGGGCACCAGUGCCCCGAGUGGAUCUUCUGUGAUGCAUCGGAGGUAGAGCAUAUAUGUUGGGACCCGAAAGAUGGUGAACUAUGCCUGAAUAGGGUGAAGCCAGAGGAAACUCUGGUGGAGGCUCGUAGCGAUUCUGACGUGCAAAUCGAUCGUCAAAUUUGGGUAUAGGGGCGAAAGACUAAUCGA
rnacentral:rRNA from 1 species